rnacentral:rRNA from 1 species
UGGGGAAUAUUGGACAAUGGGCGAAAGCCUGAUCCAGCCAUGCCGCGUGUGUGAAGAAGGCCUUUUGGUUGUAAAGCACUUUAAGCGAGGAGGAGGCUACUUGGAUUAAUACUCUAGGAUAGUGGACGUUACUCGCAGAAUAAGCACCGGCGAACUCUGUGCCAGCAGCCGCGGUAAUACAGAGGGUGCGAGCGUUAAUCGGAUUUACUGGGCGUAAAGCGUGCGUAGGCGGCUUCUUAAGUCGGAUGUGAAAUCCCUGAGCUUAACUUAGGAAUUGCAUUCGAUACUGGGAAGCUAGAGUAUGGGAGAGGAUGGUAGAAUUCCAGGUGUAGCGGUGAAAUGCGUAGAGAUCUGGAGGAAUACCGAUGGCGAAGGCAGCCAUCUGGCCUAAUACUGACGCUGAGGUACGAAAGCAUGGGGAGCAAACAGG